GAUGAAGAACGUAGUGAAAUGCGAUAAGUAAUGUGAAUUGCAGAAUUCCGUGAAUCAUCGAAUCUUUGAACGCACAUUGCGCCCUCUGGUAUUCCGGGGGGCAUGCCUGUCCGAGCGUCAUUUGCAACCCUCAAGCCCGGCUUGUGUGAUGGGUGCCGUCCCCUACGGGACGCGCCCCGAAGGCAAUGGCGGCGUCGCGGUUAUCCGAUCAGCCAAAGUGUAUGGGGCUUUGUCACUCACUUUACGGCCCGGACCGGCGCCAGUCCGAAUCAAUCUUUUUUCUAAAGUUGACCUCGGAUCAGGUAGGGAUACCCGCUGAACUUAAGCAUAUCAAUAAGGGAGGA
rnacentral:misc_RNA from 1 species